GACGGAGGGUGCGAGCGUUAUUCGGAAUGAUUGGGCGUAAAGCGCUCGCAGGCGGCUACUCUAGUCGGCUGUGAAAGACCGGGGCUUAACCCCGGAGAGGCAGUGGAUACUGAAUGGCUGGAGUGUAGGUCGGGUAGAGGGAAUUCCCGGUGUAGCGGUGGAAUGCGUAGAGAUUGGGAAGAACACCUGUGGCGAAAGCGCUCUGCUGGACCGCAACUGACGCUGAGGGGCGAAAGCGAGGGGAGCGAAAGGG
rnacentral:rRNA from 1 species